rnacentral:rRNA from 1 species
AAAGGAAUUGACGGGGGCCCGCACAAGCGGUGGAGCAUGUGGUUCAAUUCGACGCAACGCGAAGAACCUUACCUGGGCUCGAACGGCCGGUCAACGGUGGCGGAAACGCUGCUACCCCGCAAGGGGGUCCGGUCGAGGUGCUGCAUGGCUGUCGUCAGCUCGUGUCGUGAGAUGUUGGGUUAAGUCCCGCAACGAGCGCAACCCUUGUCCUGUGUUGCCACUCCGCAAGGAAGCACUCGCAGGAGACCGCCAGCGAUAAGCUGGAGGAAGGUGGGGAUGACGUCAAGUCCUCAUGGCCUUUAUGUCCAGGGCUACACACGUGCUACAAUGGCCGGUACAAUACGCUGCAAACCCGCGAGGGGGAGCCAAUCGUAAAAAACCGGUCUCAGUUCGGAUUGCAGGCUGCAACCCGCCUGCAUGAAGCUGGAAUCGCUAGUAAUGGCAGAUCAGCAUGCUGCCGUGAAUACGUUCCCGGGCCUUGUACACACCGCCCGU